rnacentral:rRNA from 1 species
AGCAGCCGCGGUAAUUCCAGCUCCAAUAGCGUAUAUUAAAGUUGUUGCAGUUAAAAAGCUCGUAGUUGAAUUUCGGGAUCAGUAAGCCGGUCGUACCUUCGGUAUGUACUGGUGUCACUGAUUCCUCCCUUCUGAUGAACCGUUAUACCAUUUAGUUGGUGUGGCGGGGAAUCAGGACUGUUACUUUGAAAAAUUAGAGUGUUUAAAGCAAGCUCGCGCUUGAAUACAUUAGCAUGGAAUAAUAAAUAGGACGUUUGAUCUCCUAUUUUGUUGGUUUCUAGGAUCGACGUAAUGAUUAAUAGGGAUAGUUGGGGCAUUAGUAUUCAAUUGUCAGAGGUGAAAUUCUUGGAUUUAUUGAAGACUAACUACUACGAAAGCAUUUUGCCAAGGAUGUUUU